AUUGAACGCUGGCGGCAGGCCUAACACAUGCAAGUCGAGCGGUAGAGAGAAGCUUGCUUCUCUUGAGAGCGGCGGACGGGUGAGUAAAGCCUAGGAAUCUGCCUGGUAGUGGGGGAUAACGUUCGGAAACGGACGCUAAUACCGCAUACGUCCUAAGGGAGAAAGCAGGGGAUCUUCGGGCCUUGCGCUAUCAGAUGAGCCUAGGUCGGAUUAGCUAGUUGGUGAGGUAAUGGCUCACCAAGGCGACGAUCCGUAACUGGUCUGAGAGGAUGAUCAGUCAAACUGGAAUUGAUACACGGUCUAGACUCCUACUGGGGGCAGAAGUGGUGAAUAUUGGACAAUGGGCGAAAGCCUGAUCCAGCCAUGCCGCGUGUGUGAAGAAGGUCUUCGGAUUGUAAAGCACUUUAAGUUGGGAGAAAGGGCAUUAACCUAAUACGUUAGUGUUUUGACGUUACCGACAUAAUAAGCACCGGCUAACUCUGUGCCAGCAGCCGCCGUAA
rnacentral:rRNA from 1 species